rnacentral:rRNA from 1 species
CCCUUAGAUGUUCUGGGCCGCACGCGCGCUACACUGAUGCAUUCAACGAGUCUAAAACCUGCUCUGAUAGGGGUGGGUAAUCUUUUGAAUGUGCAUCGUGAUUGGGAUAGAUGAUUGCAAUUUUUCAUCUUCAACGAGGAAUGCCUAGUAAACGCAAGUCAUCAGCUUGCAUUGAUUACGUCCCUGCCCUUUGUACACACCGCCCGUCGCUCCUACCGAUUGAAUGAUCCGAUGAAUAUCAUGGAUUGAGGAUGCAUGUAGGUUCGCCUAUCUUCAUCUUCGAGAAGUGAAGUAAAUCUUAUCAUUUAGAGGAAGGAGAAGUCGUAACA